rnacentral:rRNA from 1 species
GAUGUCAGGUCCGCAAGGGCCCCAUACAGGUGGUGCAUGGCUGUCGUCAGCUCGUGUCGUGAGAUGUUGGGUUAAGUCCCGCAACGAGCGCAACCCUCGUUCUAUGUUGCCAGCGGGUAAUGCCGGGGACUCAUAGGAGACCGCCGGGGUCAACUCGGAGGAAGGUGGGGAUGACGUCAAGUCAUCAUGCCCCUUAUGUCUUGGGCUGCACGCAUGCUACAAUGGCUGGUACAAACGGCUGCGAUACCGCAAGGUGGAGCGAAUCCGAGAAAGCCAGUCUCAGUUCGGAUUGGGGUCUGCAACUCGACCCCAUGAAGUCGGAGUUGCUAGUAAUCGUAGAUCAGCAACGCUACGGUGAAUACGUUCCCGGGGCUUGUACACACCGCCCGUCACAUCACGAAAGUCGGUAACACCCAAAGUCAGUGGCCCAACCGCAAGGAGGGAGCUGCCAAAGGUGGGAUCGGUGAUUGGGAUGAAGUCGUAACAAGUACCAAUCG